rnacentral:rRNA from 1 species
GACGUAGGGGGCGAGCGUUGUCCGGAAUUAUUGGGCGUAAAGAGCUCGUAGGCGGCCUGUCGCGUCGGAUGUGAAAGCCCGGGGCUUAACCCCGGGUCUGCAUUCGAUACGGGCAGGCUAGAGUUCGGUAGGGGAGAUCGGAAUUCCUGGUGUAGCGGUGAAAUGCGCAGAUAUCAGGAGGAACACCGGUGGCGAAGGCGGAUCUCUGGGCCGAUACUGACGCUGAGGAGCGAAAGCGUGGGGAGCGAACAGG